CACGGGCCCCUCAGGAGAUGCUUCUCUGUCAAGCACAGAGCCAGCCCAGGAAGCCAAGGAAGGGUACCAGCGCACCCACUACAGCUGAGGGGAAGCCGGGCACCAGUCCAUCCCCCCUCAACACAAGUGCGCCCCCCGCGAGCAGAGGAAUCCCGCCGCACCUCUGUUCCCUGAACUCUGAGAGCUCUGGGAGUUCUUCAGUCACCUGACCAGGGGCAGGUAGGAAACAUUGCUAGUUCUUAGCAGCAAGGGUCCUAGCUGGGACCCGCUAACCGACACACGCUCAGGCUGGUCACUCUCUGUUGGGACCAGGAGUGGGUGCAGGCAGAGGGGCCGCAAACGGGAAGUAGGAGCCCCUAGAGAAGAAACGAGGUCUGGAAAAGCAGAAGGGGCAGCCAACACACCAACUCCCACUGCUUGUCCUUUGGCCAAGGGCAGACUCUACCCAAGAAAACUAAGUGUGGGGAAAACAUUAAUAAGACAUCAAAAUAUUAUCAGCAAGGAAAACUGCUAAAAUUUUAACUUAGUUUAUAACAAGUUUAACAGUUAAAAAUUAAAUGAAAGCAGAUUUUAAAUCUGUACUUACUUUCAUAAAUAGUGAUGGCCCACAAGAUACAGAACAAGAACUAAAUAAGAGUGUGUAUGUGUGUGCAUAUACACGUGUGCAUAAGAGUAUGAGUGUAGAUAGGUCAUGUGUGUAUAUGCACGCAUGUGUGUGUUGUGUGCAUGCGUGUGCAUACCUGUGUUUAUGUGGGUGUGCAUAUGUUGUGUGCGUGCAUGUUUGUAUACUGGUGUGUGCACAUAUGUGUGUAUACAUGCAUGUGUGUGAGAUCACUCUGGGGGUGUGCUAUAAAUUAAGUUAUAAUUGCAUACUGGACACCGGGAUCACUGCUUUACAUCUAUUAUCUCUUUUAACAAAAACCCUUUAAGGUAGACACUAUACCCAUUUUUCAGAUGGAAGACUAGAGGACUGUUCACUCUUAACACUCUAAUUCACUUUGUCUCCACAGGGUCUUCCUGAAGGACUAAAUUCUCACAAGAUCUUAGAUAAUACAUAUAUUUUCAAACCUUUUAAUUGAUACCAGAAUCUCUUAUACUGCAACUACAGGUAUUCAAUAAAUGUAUGUUUUCUCAGUUCAUUUGAAUCAUGGGCACACAGUGUUUUAUCCUUUUUUAGAUAAACAUCAGCCAAGCUGAAACUCUAGGCUGGCUUCCUUCUGCUUUCGAAUAAGAGCGGUUAAGAGAGAAGCCAGAAGGUUUUUUCCAGUGAUUUGUAUAUAGGUUUGUAAAUUUUUUUUCUUUUGGUUUUUUUCACUUCUUUGGAAGCUCACUUUUAUAUUUGCUUUUUUAUUUGCAGAAAUCAUACUUUUAAUCCUUGCAAGAAUAGAUUUAAUGCAGACCUUGCAUUUAUCUCUUUACAGGGUUGAUCUCCACAAUCUGUUUCUGCUACUGUAUAGGCUUUGGAGGGAAUCUAUGGCAGACUCUCUCAAAGAUCAUUAUGCUUUCUCCUGUGGUCAUGAGACACUGACUUCCUAAUCAUUAUGGCAUUUGCAGACAUUAUCAGAGCUUUUUCUGUAUUGCCCCGAGUCUCAUAAAAAUUUCCACCCUAUCAAUUUCUCUUAAACAACACCUUAUAAGCUCCUUCCCACUCAAUCCCCAGCUACUCAAAAUGCCCACUCACUAUCUUCCAUUGCACAGAUCACAUUUUGCAUUGGUUUCAAAACAUUUCUUAGCUUAGUCUUUAGCUCUUCAGACUUCUUGUGUUAAAUAAAUGACUGCAUUUCCCUCAAGACCGCUGCCCUGCGGGUAUUUAACUAUGGGAAGAAUCAAUGCCCAAACCAUCCCUGACGCUCCAGGGCAAAGGCAAUUACGAUAAAAUCGCUCACUGCACACUUGAAGGAAAAGGGAGAUUUUUGGAAGCACGAUCCUGUUCCUAAAGCCAGAAAGACAAUGUCUUUGCAAAAGCAAGACUGCUUUAUCAAGGGCAACACACUCUCCAGGCCAGUGUUCUGGAACUCCUGAUGCCCCUCAGGCAAGGGUAUCAAAGAAAUGAAUGCAGUUUGAAAGAAGCGAGGGGCUUGGCCGUGCUCACCUUAGAAACGCCGUGAUCCAACGGGACUUGUCCUGUUACACCCCUCCUGGUGAUGCUUCACGUCACCACUGUGAUUCUCUUGACGAGGUGCAAUUUCUAAUAGCCAUUAAGAAAAAAGUAGUGAGAGACCAGAAUUGGCCAAAAGCAAAUUGCUGAACUACCACUUCCUACUUAAAAGUAACGCCUAUUUGCCCAAAUGCAGAAGAUUAACCAUGUAUAACCUGUGGGGUAUAAAAUAAUCAUAUGACUCCCUGGAAGCCAAGUCACGCCUGAGGAGGAGCUGAGGAGAGGUUCAGGACCUGGGUGGCGGUGCUCCUCACAGUGACUUCGAGCUGCUUCUCCACUUGUGGCAACGGUGUGUGCUCAGACCUUCUCACUCCUGUGCCUAAUUAUUUCCCAUGAGCAAGGAAGGACACUUUGCAAACUGCCUGGGAAGGCGUAGACGUGUUUGGGAACGGGUACAUGAGACUGUGGUUAGGGCAGCCCCUGGAGCCCCUGUGCCUGGAUUUCCCCCAAAAUCUGUGCACCCGCAGGUAGGCUCCUGACCCUGUGGGGACUCCACAGUUCCUUCUUCUGUCAGAUUAACGGCCGAGUGGCUCUUGCCUCAGAGUGUCCUGAGAAAUACGGGGUGGAUCCUUGGGAAGCAGGGAGAACGGCGCUCACCCAGAGCAGGCUCUCAACGAAUAUGAGCUAUUGUUGUGUGAUUUAGGCCGUAAAUACAAGUCCCUAAAAGCUGGGCGCGUGAUCUUUACGAGAUGGCAGGUAACAGAUCUGAGUGCCUUGCGUUAGAGGUAGCAACUGAUGAUUUGCUUGGGGAACUCAUUUUUAGGUGUGAGUGAUUUAAAAAAUGCAAAAAAAAAAAAA